GUAGAAGCAUCGAUGGGACGAGUAACAGUUGCUGUUGCGUCCAGAGAGUGGGCGGUUGGUGGAAAGCCCAUACGUCAAUACACUGUGAAAAAAAGCCCGGAGCCGCGAGAAGAAAUCGCUUCAAGCGAGAGUAGACCUCUGCCGGAGGCCCCCGUUAACGGGCGGGAGUAUGUUAGUACUCGACGAGGUUGAUGUCGUGAGGCAUCAACGAAUGAAGGUGGUACCACGAGAGUUGUGUAUUUCGCUCUUUGU
rfam:Ktedonobacter sp. 13_1_20CM_3_54_15 13_1_20cm_3_scaffold_2494, whole genome shotgun sequence.